rnacentral:rRNA from 1 species
CAAUAGCGUAUAUUAAAGUUGUUGCGGUUAAAAAGCUCGUAGUUGGAUUUCUGCUGAGGAUGACCGGUCCGCCCUGUGGGUGUGCAUCUGGCUCAGCCUUGGCAUCUUCCUGAAGAACGUAGCUGCACUUGACUGUGUGGUGCGGUAUUUAGGACAUUUACUUUGAGGAAAUUAGAGUGUUUCAAGCAAGCGCACGCUUUGAAUACAUUAGCAUGGAAUAAUAAGAUAGGACCUUGGUUCUAUUUUGUUGGUUUCUAGAGCUGAGGUAAUGAUUGAUAGGGAUAGUUGGGGGCAUUCGUAUUUAACUGUCAGAGGUGAAAUUCUUGGAUUUGUUAAGACGGACUACUGCGAAAGCAUUUGCCAAGGAUGUUUUCAUUGA